CAUUCACCUCCCUCCCAGACUCUUUUCCCCAUUCCCCUUCGGCCCUUCCCUUUCCCUCUGUCAUCUCUCGGCAGACAGCGGCCGAUGAGCAGAGCAUGACAAAAGCACAGGUAAGGACGUCAUCCUCCAAGGGUCUCGGUAGCAACAUAGGCAACGACGGUGGCUUGGCACGGCGCCGCUGCACGAGGUACCCGGCCAUGUAGGAGGCUUGCCGAAUCAGCACUUCCCAAGCUUCAGCACUGCCCUACCGCGUUCUUGGUGCCGCUGUCCCAACCAAACCUGCGCCCCAGACAAAAAGGAACACAAAUCGCUAUCCUGGACCAAGCACAAUGUCCUAGAAGAAGGGGAAGGAGCCUUGUGGGAGGGGAGGCCCUGGAGGAGAACCACUGCUUCUGCUUCUUGGAGCCUUGAAUAGGCCAGGGUUGCUGCAGCCCGAAGCCUAUGUCUCUUGCCGAACCUGCUGCAAACAGAAAGGAGAAGUGUCUAGUCUCCAGGUGAGAUCUCUGCAGCAACUACUCUGAUAGAUGUGUGGUACUUGUGUGUACAGUCAACAUAAAUCUUAGUUUGUGUGUACUAUUUGUGAAACGUACUAUUCAGAUGUGAAAUAGCAUACUAUUUCCUUUGCAUCCA